rnacentral:rRNA from 1 species
UACGAAGGGGGCUAGCGUUGUUCGGAAUUACUGGGCGUAAAGCGUGCGCAGGCGGCUAUCCAAGUCAGUGGUGAAAGCCCGGAGCUCAACUCCGGAAUUGCCAUUGAAACUGUUUAGCUUGAGUACGAGAGAGGUGAGUGGAAUACCCAGUGUAGAGGUGAAAUUCGUAGAUAUUGGGUAGAACACCGGUGGCGAAGGCGGCUCACUGGCUCGUAACUGACGCUCAGGCACGACAGCGUGGGGAUCAAACAGG